rnacentral:rRNA from 1 species
GACGAACGCUGGCGGCGUGCUUAACACAUGCAAGUCGAACGGAAAGGCCCUGCUUUUGUGGGGUGCUCGAGUGGCGAACGGGUGAGUAACACGUGAGUAACCUGCCCUUGACUUUGGGAUAACUUCAGGAAACUGGGGCUAAUACCGGAUAGGAGCUCCUGCUGCAUGGUGGGGGUUGGAAAGUUUCGGCGGUUGGGGAUGGACUCGCGGCUGAUCAGCUUGUUGGUGGGGUAGUGGCUUACCAAGGCUUUGACGGGUAGCCGGCCUGAGAGGGUGACCGGCGACAAUAGGACUGAGAUACGGCCCAGACUCCUACGGGAGGCAGCAGUGGGGAAUAUUGCACAAUGGGCGGAAGCCUGAUGCAGCAACGCCGCGUGCGGGAUGACGGCCUUCGGGUUGUAAACCGCUUUCGCCUGUGACGAAGCGUGAGUGACGGUAAUGGGUAAAGAAGCACCGGCUAACUACGUG